rnacentral:rRNA from 1 species
AACGAACGCUGGCGGCAUGCCUAACACAUGCAAGUCGAACGAAGGCUUCGGCCUUAGUGGCGCACGGGUGCGUAACGCGUGGGAACCUGCCCUUUGGUUCGGAAUAACCAGGAGAAAUUCUGGCUAAUACCGGAUGAUGUCGAAAGACCAAAGAUUUAUCGCCAUAGGAUGGGCCCGCGUAGGAUUAGCUAGUUGGUGAGGUAAGGGCCCACCAAGGCGACGAUCCUUAGCUGGUCUGAGAGGAUGAUCAGCCACACUGGGACCGAGACACGGCCAAGACUCCUACGGGAGGCAGCAGUGGGGAAUAUGGGACAAUGGGCGAAAGCCUGAUCCAGCAAUGCCGCGUGAGUGAUGAAGGCCUUAGGGUUGAAAAGCCCUUUUACCCGGGAUGAUAAUGACAGUACCGGGAGAAUAAGCCCCGGCUAACUCCGUGCCAGCCGCCGCAGUAA